GCUCGCUUCGGCAGCACAUACUAAAAUUGGAACAAUACAGAGAAGAUUAGCAUGGUUUCUGCACAAGGAUGACAUGCAAAUUCAUGAAGCGUUCCGUAUUUUU